ensembl:lncRNA
CUUCUGUCAACAAACAAAUAAGCCCUUUUGCUGCUUCAGUCUGUGCAGUUAAGUGAAUCUUUUUGAAAGAUCUUCAAAGGGAAAGGAACCAACCGGAAAGAUCAUUUUUAACAUGAGAGGAGCUAUGGAAGUUCUAAAGAGGGUUCUAAGGAGUUUUCUUUGAGUUCUAAAGUAAAGACAUGAAGCUCUCUGUGAGACUGCAGCAGAAGAAACCAAUGGACACACACUGUGAUCCAGGCUGUUCUUUUAUGUGAGGGGUUUUAUAGUGCCGGGUAUGAUGUGAGAUUCAGCCUUGUAAGCCUUACUCAUUUCCAAAGUUGGAAUUUGCAAGGUAGGCAUUUUUUUAAACUUUUUAUUUUGUAUUGGUAUAUAGAUGAUUAACAAUGCUGUGAUAAUUUCAGGUGAAUAGUAAAGGCAAUCAGCCAUUCAUGUACAUGUAUCCAUUCUUCCAUCAACUCCCCCUCCCAUCCAGGCUGCCACAUAACAUUGAACAGAGUUCCAUGUGCUAUACAGUAGGUCCUUGUUGGUUACCGAUUUCAAAUAUAGUGGUGUGUAUGUGUCCAUCCCAGACUCCAUAACUAAUAGCCCUUACCCCCAUCCUUCCUCCCGGCAACCAUAAGUUUAUUGUCUAAGUCUGUGAGUCUCUUUGUGUUUUGUAAGUAAGUUCAUUUGUAUCAUUUCUUCUUAGAUUCUGCAUAUAAGGGAUAUCAUGUGGCAUUUCUCCUUCUCUGUCUGACUUACUUCACCCAGGAUGACAAUCUCUGGGUCCAUCCAUGCUGCUGCAAAUGGCACUAUUUCUUUCUUUCUAAUAGCUAAGUAACAGUCCUCUGAAUAUAUGUACCACAUCUUUAUCCAUUCCUCUAUCGAUGGACGUUUAGGUUGCUUCCAUGUCUUGAAAGCAAGGAAGUCAUUUGUAAUAGGUAUCAUUGGUUGCAUGUCCAGCAGCCACCCCAGUUUUCCCUUUUUUGUUUGAAGAAGAGCUCAUAAUCAUGUUGCAGUGUCUAUAUGUAACAAAGAUAAGUCUUUCUUGAUUUCAUUUGAUCAUAGUCAUCUCUUUGGCCAUACCAGUGAAUGGUUUAUAGAUGAGCAUGUAACCCAGUGCUGCCUAAUGAAAAAU